rnacentral:lncRNA from 1 species
UAGGACAACCUAUAUAAAUUAAGUUGUAAAUAUCUUUAUCAAAAUAUAAUGUAGUGUAUUAGCCAGGCCCGAAGACAAUGACUCUUGACCGUGAAUUAAUACGUGAGGUUUACAUAUUAUGUCGUGUAUAAAAAUGCAGCGCGUAGGUAAAUUCAAGAGUUGUUAUAAUUAGAUACUUGAUAUGUACAAAUGUGUGGUAUAGGUAAUGAUUUGUAUUUGUAAACAACUAUGGUUGAAUCACCGUUUAUACGAUGUAAAUAUAAAGUUAUCC